rnacentral:pre_miRNA from 1 species
UAAAUACUCCCUCCGUCCGGAAAUACUUGUCGAAGAAAUGCAUAAAAAUAGAUGUAUCUAGAAUUAAAAUACGUCUAGAUACAUUCAUUUCUCCGACAAGUAUUUUCGGAUAGAGAGAGUACAAG